rnacentral:miRNA from 1 species
GCAGACACAUUCCAGCUAAUCAGCAGCAGACCCUCCCUCCCAGACCCUCCCACCUCCUGGACAGCAUCCAUUUUACAUUCAUUGUGAAGCUGCAUUCUUAGUGAGCUGUCCAGGAGUGGGAGGGUCUGGGAGAGAGGGUCUGCUGCUGAUUGGCUGGAAUGUGUCUG